rnacentral:rRNA from 1 species
AACGAACGCUGGCGGCGUGCUUAACACAUGCAAGUCGAACGGAAUUAGGGGCUUGCUCCUAAUUUAGUGGCGCACGGGUGAGUAACGCGUGGAUAACCUACCCUGGUAUCUGGGAUAACAUCUCGAAAGGGGUGCUAAUACCGGAUAAGCCCACGGUCUCUUCGGGGAUUGCGGGAAAAGAUGGCCUCUAUUUAUAAGCUAUCGUAUCAGGAUGGGCCCGCGUACCAUUAGCUAGUUGGUGGUGUAAUGGACCACCAAGGCGACGAUGGUUAGCUGGUCUGAGAGGAUGAUCAGCCACACUGGAACUGAGACACGGUCCAGACUCCUACGGGAGGCAGCAGUGGGGAAUUUUGCGCAAUGGGGGAAACCCUGACGCAGCAACGCCGCGUGAGUGAUGAAGGCCUUCGGGUCGUAAAGCUCUGUCAGAGGGGAAGAAGUGAUAGUGUGCUAAUACCACAUUAUCUUGACGGUACCCUCAAAGGAAGCACCGGCUAACUCCGUGCCAGCAGCCGCGGUAAUACGGAGGGUGCAAGCGUUGUUCGGAUUUAUUGGGCGUAAAGCGCGUGUAGGCGGUCUUUUAAGUCUGAUGUGAAAGCCCCGGGCUCAACCCGGGAAGUGCAUUGGAAACUGGGAGACUUGAAUACGGGAGAGGGUAGUGGAAUUCCUAGUGUAGGAGUGAAAUCCGUAGAUAUUAGGAGGAACACCGGUGGCGAAGGCGGCUACCUGGACCGAUAUUGACGCUGAGACGCGAAAGCGUGGGGAGCAAACAGGAUUAGAUACCCUGGUAGUCCACGCCGUAAACGAUGAGUACUAGGUGUUGCGGGUAUUGACCCCUGCAGUGCCGCAGCUAACGCAUUAAGUACUCCGCCUGGGAAGUACGGUCGCAAGACUA